rnacentral:rRNA from 1 species
AACGUAGGUUCGAGCGUUAUCCGGAUUUACUGGGCGUAAGCGCGUUCAGGCGGUUGGCAAGUCGGCAUGAAUCUCUCGGCUCAACCGGGAGAGGUUGUCCGAUGACUGCUGGACUGAGGCAGUAGAGGGUGGUGGAAUUCCGGGUGUAGUGGUGAAAUGCGUAGAUAUCCGGAGGACACCAGUGGCGAAAGCGGCCACCUGGACUGCACCGACGCGUGGACACGCGAAGCUAGGGGAGCGAACGGG